AUGAACGCUGGCGGCGUGCCUAAUACAUGCAAGUCGAGCGAACGGACGAGAAGCUUGCUUCUCUGAUGUUAGCGGCGGACGGGUGAGUAACACGUGGAUAACCUACCUAUAAGACUGGGAUAACUUCGGGAAACCGGAGCUAAUACCGGAUAAUAUUUUGAACCGCAUGGUUCAAAAGUGAAAGACGGUCUUGCUGUCACUUAUAGAUGGAUCCGCGCUGCAUUAGCUAGUUGGUAAGGUAACGGCUUACCAAGGCAACGAUGCAUAGCCGACCUGAGAGGAUGAUCAGCCACACUGGAACUGAGACACGGUCCAGACUCCUACGGGAGGCAGCAGUAGGGAAUCUUCCGCAAUGGGCGAAAGCCUGACGGAGCAACGCCGCGUGAAUGAUGAAGGUCUUCGGAUCGUAAAACUCUGUUAUUAGGGAAGAACAUAUGUGUAAGUAACUGUGCACAUCUUGACGGUACCUAAUCAGAAAGCCACGGCUAACUACGUG
rnacentral:rRNA from 1 species